rnacentral:rRNA from 1 species
CACCGGCGGCUCGAGUGGUGGCCCCUUUUAUUGGGUCUAAAGCGUCCGUAGCCGGCUUGGCAAGUCCCCUGGGAAAUCUGGCGGCUUAACCGUCAGGCGUCCAGAGGAUACUGCCAGGCUUGGGACCGGGAGAGGUGAGAGGUACCUCAGGGGUAGGGGUGAAAUCUUGUGAUCCCUGAGGGACCACCAGUGGCGAAGGCGUCUCACUAGAACGGGUCCGACGGCCAGGGACGAAAGCUGGGGGCACGAACCGG